AUUGAACGCUGGCGGCCUGCCUAACACAUGCAAGUCGAACGAGUGGCGGACGGGUGAGUAAUGUCUGGGAAACUGCCUGAUGGAGGGGGAUAACUACUGGAAACGGUAGCUAAUACCGCAUACCAUCAGAUGUGCCCAGAUGGGAUUAGCUAGUUGGUGGGGUAACGGCGCACCAAGGCGACGAUCCCUAGCUGGUCUGAGAGGGUGACCAGCCACACGGGAACUGAGACACGGUCCAGACUCCGACGGGAGGCAGCAGGGGGGAAUAUUGCACAAUGGGCGAAAGCCUGAUGCAGCAAGGCCGCGUGUAUGAAGAAGGCCUUCGGGUUGUAAAGGACUGUCAGCGGGGAGGCGUUACCCGCAGAAGAAGCACCGGCUAACUCCGUGCCAGCAGCCGCGGUAAUUC
rnacentral:rRNA from 1 species